GAUCCUAUUUCUGCAGUACUUACAGUGUUUUGACAGUCUUUAGCUCACUUAGCAGCAUGGAUGAGGGAGGGGUGCUAGUUGAGAGAACCAACAAUCCAAGAAAAAGGAAGCGAAAUGAAAAAUAAUGGGCCAAAAACCAGAACAAGGAAGAUCAUAACACCGCUCCUGGGAAGCAACCAGCCAUUGGAUGCCAGCACAUGCCUCACAGCUUUUGUAAGGCGUCUUUGCUGAUAGAAGGAGACAUCACAGAUACUUUCCAGGACUGCUACAGAGACUCGAACAACCGCGGCAAGAUUCAUUCAUCAUGUGCCACAUACAACUCAAUCCAGUCAUGCGCCAUCGAGGAAAUGGUCCACAACCAAGGAGAGAGCGGAACUAUGCCCCAACAUUUCAAAUUACGACACAGCAAGGGGAAAAUGUGGAUGUGUGCUCCGGAAGAUUCAGAUUCAUCCUUGUACUUGGUAGGAAACGUCUGGGCAACCUAAUGAAGUACACCUGCCAUUCAAAAUCACAGAGGCCAAACGCAUCUACGUGAGACCAGCUCCAGCCCCAGUCACUGUCGCGAAGUAUUAUAGCGCACCUGGAGAUGAGUACACCAUAUUGAAGAGAGGAAAGAGAUGGAGUACUCUUCGGGGCAAUCAGCUCCCAUUGCUGAAGCAGCGGGAUUUAGCAAAUCUUCUACGAGCGAUGGGGGUGGAGCUACAAGUGGACCCGCUAGUAGGGUAUGGGCCACGCAACUUCAUUCAGGAAGUAGGUGCCUUUUACAAAGAGGUGUGCGCGCCUACUGAUGCAAUGGCCGUAGAGAGUUAUGAGGACGAAGGCAUCAUUGCUGCCUAUGAAGAUUGACAUUUGAUUUUAUGCCUUUUACACAGUUAAUGGAUCAGUUCAAACUAUU
rnacentral:lncRNA from 1 species